GGAAAAUAUCAGCACCCUCGUAAAUAACAAGCAACAGAUCAAACUGCCCCAUAUUCCACGCCCAAAUCGUUUACAUAAAUUUUCUCCAAACACCAUUCACAUACACAACAACAUCGAAUUGUAACACCAUAAGUUAUUUUCAGCAAGAGAGUCUCUAAGUUCAUUUCUUGUUCUUAUAUUUCUCUACCCUUUUUGCAACUCACUCGACAACACCAUAACCAUAAACCACCCCAUUAGAGACGGCGACGUUUUGGUCUCUAACGGCUUAGGAAACUUCGCACUAGGUUUCUUCAGCCCGCGAAACUCCACAAACCGUUACGUUGGGAUUUGGUACGACAAAAUCUCGGAACAAACGUCGUGUGGGUUGCCAACAGAGACACUCCUCUAAACGACACUUCCGGUGUUCUCAAAAUCAUCAAAAACGGAAACCUCGUACUCCACGACAACAACACCCGAAACCUUAACCCCGUUUGCUCCUCCAACGUUUCUUUCCGUUGAAUCCACAAAUAACGUUUCAGCCAAGCUUCUGGACACAGGAAACCUAGUUUUGGUCCAAACCGAAGACAACAAGGUUUUGUGGCAGAGUUUUGAUUAUUAUGCUUCCGUUAAUGAAACCGGUUCCUAAUAUCUUGGAAAUCUCCAAACAACCCGGGAACCGGGAACAUGACUUAUAAAAUCGACCCAAUCGGGUUUCUGCAAUUGUUUCUUUACAAAGACAAAAAAACCGGUUUGGAGGGUCGGUCAGAGAUGGAGUGGGGUGCCUGAGAUGACACCAAAUUUCAUCUUCAUUCUUCACCGUGAGAUAUGUCAACAAUGAGUGCGAGGAAUGGUUCCUUAGAGAUGGGUCGGGCGGGUGCGUGAGAAAGAGUAAUUGUCCACGUGUCGGAGCGGGGAGGGGUUUGUGGAGGUGGCGCGUGUGGUCCCAAUUAUUGGGAUGAGAGUGUAGGGAGAGAUGCUUGAGGGAUUUGUUCGUAUACCGCGUACACGAGCGCGAACGUGAGUUCUGGAAGUGGGUGUGUUACUUGGCAUGGAGACAUGGAGGACACAAGGACUUACACACAAGUGUGACAAAGUUUGUUCGUGCGAGUCCAGAAGCUUGAAUUAGGGUCUAUUGAGUAAUGGAAUGGAAAUAGCAGUGAAGAGACUGUCAAAGUACUCUGGACAAGGCAUAGAAGAGUUUAAAAAUGAGGUUCUUUUGAUCUCAACGCUCCAACACAGAAAUCUUGUGAGGAUCUUAGGUUGCUGCAUUCAAGGAGAGGAGAAGAUGUUAAUCUAUGAGUAUUUGCCUGACAAAAGUUUGGACUUGGUAUGUCAUGUUUUCAACUUUGCUGCUUAGUACUUUGAGCUCUCACUUUGGACGUAGCCAUGCCAAUACCUAUCCAUUUAUAGUGACAUCUUCAUGCAUCAAGUAACAACAAUUCAUCUAACAUGCUUCACUCUUGGUACCUUGAAGUUUUGGUCCAGAUGAAUCGAAAAGGUCGCAAUUAGACUGGAAAAAACGAUUUGAUAUCAUCUGUGGUGUUGCUAGAGGAAUGUUAUACCUUCAUCAAGAUUCACGAUUGAGAAUCAUUCAUAGAGACCUAAAAGCCAGGCAUGCCUUGAUGGACUCUGUAUUGAACCCCAAAAUUGCAGAUUUUGGUAUGGCUAGAGAGACCAAAUUGCAGCAAACGCAAAUCGUGUUGUUGGAACCUAGAAAGUAUUCAACGACACACAUGACAUUAAUUAGUUUCAUUGCAUUAUAUGUUACUUAAAUUCCCACGUCAAUUCAAAAGCUAUUCAAACACUACAUAACGGCUGUCAUCAGAAUAUGCCAUGGAAGGACAAUUUUCAAUAAAGUCUGAUGUAUACAGCUUCGGAGUUUUACUUCUAGAGAUGGUUACGGGCAGAAAGAAUAGUGGUCUAUAUGAAGACAUUACAGCCACAAAUUUAGUUGGCCAUUGUAGAUAUGGGAUCUAUGUAGAGAAGGCAAAACCAUGGAGAUUGUUGAUCAAUCAUUAGGAGAGUCAUGCUCUGAUCAAGAAGUACAAAGAUGCAUCCAAAUUGUUCCUUUGUGUGUGCAAGAUUAUGCUGCUGACAGAGCAUCUAUGUCAGCAGUUGUUUUCAUGUUGGGUAAUAACUCUUCCUGCUCCAAAACAACCAGCAUUUGUUUUCAAGAAAACUAAUUACGAGAGUUCAAAUCCAUCAACCAGUGAAGGAAUUUAUUCAGUAAAUGAUGCAAGUAUAACUAUAAUUGAAGCUCGCUGAAGGCCAAGGCUUUUGGAUAGAAUAUGUGGAAAACGGAAAACCUGUAUGCUAUUAUAUGAUGCUGUAGUACCAUGAAUCCAACAAUACUAAGGUUUGUCAAAAUAUUGUAUAUGAUAUUUCACAUAUUAUCCAAUUUAGAACGAUGGUAUAAAAAUCAAGAGUAAUAAGGGGUUGAGAUUCCCCACAUUUCACUUCUUGUUGUAUAACUACACUGCUCUAAGUAUAUUUUUGUAUAAGCAAAAACUGUAGAUCUCGUUAAUAAGAGUAUGCAUUA